UGGGGAAUAUUGCACAAUGGGCGCAAGCCUGAUGCAGCCAUGCCGCGUGUAUGAAGAAGGCCUUCGGGUUGUAAAGUACUUUCAGCGGGGAGGAAGGGAGUAAAGUUAAUACCUUUGCUCAUUGACGUUACCCGCAGAAGAAGCACCGGCUAACUCCGUGCCAGCAGCCGCGGUAAUACGGAGGGUGCAAGCGUUAAUCGGAAUUACUGGGCGUAAAGCGCACGCAGGCGGUUUGUUAAGUCAGAUGUGAAAUCCCCGGGCUCAACCUGGGAACUGCAUCUGAUACUGGCAAGCUUGAGUCUCGUAGAGGGGGGUAGAAUUCCAGGUGUAGCGGUGAAAUGCGUAGAGAUCUGGAGGAAUACCGGGGGCGAAGGCGGCCCCCUGGACGAAGACUGACGCUCAGGUGCGAAAGCGUGGGGAGCAAACAGG
rnacentral:rRNA from 1 species